ACAGUGAAACCACGAAUGGCUCAUUAAAUCAGUUACAAUGUAUAGAGGACACAGUUACCCUACCUGGAUAACUGUGGUAAUUCUAGAGCUAAUACAUGCCCUGGUUAAGGACUGCCUCACGGCUCCUUGCAAUUAUUAGACCAAAACCAACCCGUUCUUCGGGGCGGUUUGCUGGUGACUCUGGAUAAUUUACUAGACCGCACGCCCUUGUGGCGGCGGCUUCCUCUAUCGUUGUCUGCCCUAUCAACUAGAUGGUAUUGCCACGGCAUACCAUGGUUAUAACGGGUAACGGGGAAUCAGGGUUCGAUUCCGGAGAAGGAGCCUGAGAAAUAGCUACUACAUCCAAGGAAGGCAGCAGGCGCGCAAAUUACCCACUCCCAGAACGGGGAGGUAGUGACAAUAAAUAACGAUGCGAGACUCAUUCGAGGCCUCGUAAUCGGAAUGAGUACACUUUAAAUCCUUUAACGAGGAUCAAUCAGAGGGCAAGUCUGGUGCCAGCAGCCGCGGUAAUUCCAGCUCUGAUAGCGUAUAU
rnacentral:rRNA from 4 species